AGACCCGAAACCCGGUGAUCUAGCCAUGGGCAGGUUGAAGGUUGGGUAACACUAACUGGAGGACCGAACCGACUAAUGUUGAAAAAUUAGCGGAUGACCUGUGGCUGGGGGUGAAAGGCCAAUCAAACCGGGAGAUAGCUGGUUCUCCCCGAAAGCUAUUUAGGUAGCGCCUCGUGAAUUCAUCUCCGGGGGUAGAGCACUGUUUCGGCUAGGGGGCCAUCCCGGCUUACCAACCCGAUGCAAACUGCGAAUACCGGAGAAUGUUAUCACGGGAGACACACGGCGGGUGCUAACGUCCGUCGUGAAGAGGGAAACAACCCAGACCGCCAGCUAAGGUCCCAAAGUCAUGGUUAAGUGGGAAACGAUGUGGGAAGGCCCAGACAGCCAGGAUGUUGGCUUAGAAGCAGCCAUCAUUUAAAGAAAGCGUAAUAGCUCACUGGUCGAGUCGGCCUGCGCGGAAGAUGUAACGGGGCUAAACCAUGCACCGAAGCUGCGGCAGCGACACUGUGUGUUGUUGGGUAGGGGAGCGUUCUGUAAGCCUGUGAAGGUGGCCUGUGAGGGUUGCUGGAGGUAUCAGAAGUGCGAAUGCUGACAUAAGUAACGAUAAAGCGGGUGAAAAGCCCGCUCGCCGGAAGACCAAGGGUUCCUGUCCAACGUUAAUCGGGGCAGGGUGAGUCGACCCCUAAGGCGAGGCCGAAAGGCGUAGUCGAUGGGAAACGGGUUAAUAUUCCCGUACUUGGUGUUACUGCGAAGGGGGGACGGAGAAGGCUAUGUUGGCCGGGCGACGGUUGUCCCGGUUUAAGCGUGUAGGUGUGUGUUCCAGGUAAAUCCGGUUCACUUUAACACUGAGGCGUGACGACGAGGCACUACGGUGCUGA
rnacentral:rRNA from 1 species